UACGUAGGCAGCGAGCGUUGUUCGGAGUUACUGGGCGUAAAGGGUGCGUAGGCGGUUGUUUAAGUUUGGUGUGAAAUCUCCCGGCUCAACUAGGAGGGUGCGACGAAUACUGAAUGACUAGAGUGCGGGAGAGGAUAGUGGAAUUCCUGGUGUAGCGGUGAAAUGCGUAGAUAUCAGGAGGAACACCGGUGGUGUAGACGGCUAUCUGGACCGUAACUGACGCUGAGGCACGAAAGCGUGGGUAGCAAACAGG
rnacentral:rRNA from 1 species